GGCGGCGUAGCCAAGUGGUAAGGCAGCGGACUGCAAAUCCGUUAUUCACCGGUUCGAAUCCGGUCGCCGCCU